ACGCAAUGAAACAUUACUCAACAAGACGGAAAUGAGCACAUUUGUCCCCACAUUUUCCUGCUGGUCAGUGAGCCCCCGCCGCUACACGCAUACCCAUAAAUGCUGAAGGAAGCACGCAGCCCGUUGGCCUGUAAUCUCCUCAGCAAUCACAAGGUCUGACUGUUGGAACGGAGCAAAGUUCAUCUCGUCAUCGACAACAACAGAGGUGCAGUUUCUACCAGCGAGAGACAGGCAGAGACGGACAGGAGGGAAAAGACACUCAAGAAGACACCCGUCAGAACCAAAGAGGUCACGACUUUCACAUCUGGACUGGAACAACAACAACAACAACAAAAAAACGUUGUUUUUCCCCGAAAGGAAUAAUUCCUUUGGAUUAUCUCACUUCAGAGGGCUAAACCUGUCGGGACGACGAGGCAUUAGCUCACUGCUCAACCAGCAGCCGUUCACAGCUUUUUUGGAGAAUCCCAAAAACUGGUCCUCGAUGCCCGCGGACCUCCGGCUCUCCAGCUGAGCGCUCAGUGGCGACCAUUCACUCCUCAUCCCCAGGCCUGCAGCCCCCCCCCCCCCCGCCGCGCCGGGGCAGCAUGGAGGUGCCGAGCGGCCCGUGGGCCGACCUGGCUCUGCUCCUCCGGCGGACGGACCGGGAGGCCCACGGCUUCCUGCCCCUCGGGCUGCUCGGCCUGCUGCUGUUUCUGUGCGUCUGUCUGCUGCUGCUGCAGCUCAUCGUCUACCUCCGCUGGAAGCUCACGCAAGGUAGCAGCCUCACACGCCCCACCUUGAAUGCUGAUCUGUUAGCGCGCCCGUCCCUCUCCAGGCAGCUACACGGGACCAAGCGCCCGAGGACAAGACGCGGAGGGUCGCACGCGCACACCUGACCACGGCAAACACACUUCAUCUUACACACCAGACUU